AAGGUGGGAAAAUCCAAAGCAAGCAAUUUUUCAUUUAACCUUAGAAAUAAACUGGAGUUUUAAUAUAAAAGUAACGGUAACUUAGAACUACCCAUACCACCCCACAAAACAAAAGCUCUACACUUUCAUCUAUUUUUUCUACUUCUGUUGGUGGCCUCAUCAACUGCAGGUAAUUAAUAUAAGUCCUAGGAAUCAUCACAGACUUCUCUUACUUUCUCACACCAGUACAGGAGUCAAAUGUCCAAGUCCCAGAGUCAGACCUCCUGAAUUCAAAUCCCGUCUUUGCCACUUUCCAGGUCUGUGAAUUAAACAAGUUAUGUAGCCUUUCUGAGCUGUGGUUUACCCAUCUUUGAAUAUGGAUAACAACCCUAUCUGCUUCAUAGAAAGAAAUUAAUAUUAGAGAAUAUUGUAAUUAUCCAAGCAAUUACUGAGUCCUGUUGAUUUUACCUUUUCAAUAUCUGUUGCAUUUGUUAUCUAUGGCAAUCUCAAAGUGUGUGCAAUGAGAUGAAAUGUUUUAUUUGUGGGGGUAGGAUGCUUGUGAGAAAAGACAUCAGAGAGCAAAAGAAUAGUGGGAAAUGGAAAAGGGACAGACAUGAACAACUCAGGGUUUUUGAAGAGGGCGAUGGGUGAGACAGGCCUGGGGUGGAGGGCAUGAAAGAUGGCAAUAGAGAGAAGGAGCCUGCUGUGGAGGGCAUGAAAGGAUAGCAA
rnacentral:lncRNA from 1 species